AGUAACGUUAGAAUGAAAACAAUAAAGUGACAUUAGUAGUUCCUGUAAAUCUCAUGAUGUCACUCAGAAACCUGUCUAUAUGUUGGUGUUAGCGCAGUUUAAACAACAGGUAGGGCUUAAUGACAGAAAUACAGUCCAUAUCAGUCCCUCCAGGAGAUCGCAAUUUUGUGAUUGCAAUAAUUAACACAAAUUCAAGAAAUCUCCACAAUAUUUGUGAGAGCUUGCAAUUUUGUUAAAUUACCGCAACUUUUCCGCAUGUAAUGACCAAAUCAACAGACCGCUUGUGAUUUGGACCAAUUGUUGCAUUUCGUGUUGUGGUUGCUUGCAUCAUCACAGCACCAUUCAGCAAGGAUUCAGGAGUGCAUUUAGAUGGAAGAUGGCCAAAUCUCACCUGCCAACAAAAAUUAUGCUAUAAACAAUUCCCAAAAGUUUCCAAAUGAGGUUUGCAUUCAGUUAGUCAGAAUAAUACAAGUUGAUGUUCAGACAGCAAAGAUGGACAUAAUCUACCUCUAACAGAAAAUGGACACUUUGGAAAUGAAACCAUAUGUUUAUCUGUUGAAAAUGGCGUGGAGGUUGGCUGCGGGGGGCAUGGAGAAGAGUGACGUGAUGCUGCUGCUCGAGGAGUACUGCUCCAGGAGGUCACAGCAGAGGUCACAGCAGAGGUCACAGCGGAGGUUAAGGGCGGGGUUAGUCCUAUCCAGCGGCGCUUAUCACACGCACAUAGAAACAGAUCAUGAAAGCGGAGAGACGGAAUUCAGGUCAGGACGGACAGAGCCAACUUUCCAGCCUCAGAGACUAGUGCUGCAAAGUGAUGAAUUUCCGGACACAACGCGGACGACAGUGGCGGACCGGCUGGUGCAGAUCGCUGACUCAGCACCGAUCCCUGAGGUGGAUGUGGAAGACCAUGAUGAAAUCAUUCAGAAAAUGGUGGAGCUGAUGAAAACAUUCGGAGAUGACAUCAAUAAGAAGAUCAAGCAGAACAUGGCCCUCCAGCAGCAGCUCCGCACGAUGAACUACGACAUGUUUGAGAGGCUGACCUCCAGCAUGCAGAACCUGGUGGGACAGGAGGGCCAGGGUGCGGCGGCGGCGGUGGAGGCGGCGGCGGUGGAGGCGGAGGCGGAGGCGGCGUCUGACAGGAGGAUCCAGCAGCAGAAGAUCGCCUGGGCCUUCGAGGUGACCAGCAGACUGUCGGCCAUGGACUUAGUCCCCAAGAGGAGAGUGCUGAGCUUUGCAGACCGAUACAUCCAGCAGCACCACAACGCAUGGCUGCAGCAGCACGGAGGCUGGGAGGAAGUGUUUGAUGUUGAAAACGUCGACUGAGCUGCAAAGAUCUGCGACUCCUGAGAGAAAAACCUUCGUUUACUCCAGAGACGGAGGUCAUGACGAUGCUGUGAACGUCUGAAACAUUUCAGUUUUUUACUUUUGAAUCAGAUCUGAUUUUUUUUUUUUUUACAGUUAAUUUGCAUAUUCAUGUACAUGUAUACAUUUCUCCUUUCCAGUUCUGCUGACUGGUGGGAAGUUUCAGCUUCAGCGGCAGAAUACGAUGCAGGAGAAGUGAGAUAAACACGGGUGCUAAUGAAGGCUAUUGGCUCGUAGCCUGUGACUUCCCGCUGAGGUGAGGGAAGGUAACUCUGUGUCACACGUUAGACGCCGAAGACCAAACAGAGUCAAAUGUCAGAGUUCAGGUCUGUAGCAGUGAUUCAGAGGGACGACGAAGCCUCUUGAAUAAGCAAAGAAACAUCUUUUAAUCAGAAAAUAUCUGACUCCUCGCUGUGGCUGCUUGAAGAAAGACAAUCCUCCGCUCUCUUCCUCCCACACAUCUGAGCAGGUACGCUGACAUAAACGAGCUCAGAGUAACACGUCGACUGCACCAGUUUACACCAGCAUUGAUUUUUUCUUUACAAAGAAAAAUACACAAUGAGAAAACUUUGAAAUGUGAUGGUUUUAUCACAUAAACUGACUGACAGCUCCUUUAAUAGACUGAUACCAUAAAAAUAUCAAUAACCCACCACUGAGCAGCUACAACAGCAUUAAAAACUAAAAUAACUGGAUAAAGUCUGACAGAGAAAUAAAGAGAAGAUAAAAGAUUUGAUAACAGAUUCGUUAUUGUCACAGUGAAUCUGUUUAUUUUAAAUCAUUGUAAAUCAAAGAUAUUCCAGUUGAGCCCCAGAAUAUAAAUAUAGAGCUGGAAAUAUGCAGAAUAUUUCUCCCUUUAAUGGUUCACAUUAAGAGGACUCGUUUUCUGUCCCCAAAAGGAGGCGAAUCCCUGCACACACACACACACACACACACACACACACACAC